rnacentral:rRNA from 1 species
GUAGGGUGCGAGCGUUAUCCGGAUUUACUGGGGGGCGUAAAGAGUGCCGUAGGGCGAUCUGAUGCGUCCGAUUUGAAAUCCCACGGCUCAACCGUGGAAACGGGUCGGAUACGGUCGGAAUUGAGUCUGUUCGGGGAGGCUGGAAUUGACGGUGGAGGGGUGAAAUCCGUUGAGAUCGUCAAGAACACCGAGGGCGAAGGCAAGCUUCUAGGACAGCACUGACGCUGAGGGACGAAAGCUAGGGUAGCAAACCGGAUUAGAGACCCGGGUAGUCCUAGCCGUAAACGAUGGAUACUAGCUGUUCGAGUCCGACUCGAUUGGCGUAAGCUAACGCGUUAAGUAUCCCGCCUGGGGAGUACGACCGCAAGGUUA